rnacentral:rRNA from 1 species
CCUACGGGUGGCAGCAGUGAGGAAUAUUGGUCAAUGGACGAGAGUCUGAACCAGCCAAGUAGCGUGAAGGAUGACUGCCCUAUGGGUUGUAAACUUCUUUUAUAUGGGAAUAAAACGUUCCACGUGUGGGAUUUUGUAUGUAUAAUAUGAAUAAGGAUCGGCUAACUUCGUGCCAGCAGCCGCGGUAAUACGGAGGAUCCGAGCGUUAUCCGGAUUUAUUGGGUUUAAAGGGAGCGUAGGUGGAUUGUUAAGUCAGUUGUGAAAGUUUGCGGCUCAACAGUAAAAUUGCAGUUGAAACUGGCAGUCUUGAGUACAGUAGAGGAGGGCGGAAUUCGUGGUGUAGCGGUGAAAUGCUUAGAUAUCACGAAGAACUCCGAUUGCGAAGGCAGUUCACUGGACUGCAACUGACACUGAGGCUCGAAAGUGUGGGUAUCAAACAGGAUUAGAUACCCGAGUAGUC